CAACUUUCAGCAAUGGAUCUCUUGGCUCUCGCAUCGAUUAAGAACGCAGCGAAAAGCGAUAUGUAAUGUGAAUUGCAGAUCUACAGUGAAUCAUCGAAUCUUUGAACGCACCUUGCGCUCCUCGGUGUUCCGAGGAGCAUGCCUGUUUGAGUGUCAGUA
rnacentral:rRNA from 1 species